rnacentral:rRNA from 1 species
UGAGGAAUAUUGGUCAAUGGGCGAGAGCCUGAACCAGCCAAGCAGCGUGCAGGAUGACGGCCCUAUGGGUUGUAAACUGCUUUUAUAUGGGAAUAAAGCGAGGGACGUGUCCCUUAUUGCAUGUACCAUACGAAUAAGGACCGGCUAAUUCCGUGCCAGCAGCCGCGGUAAUACGGAAGGUCCAGGCGUUAUCCGGAUUUAUUGGGUUUAAAGGGAGCGUAGGCUGUUUGUUAAGCGUGUUGUGAAAUGUAAGAGCUCAACUUUUGGAUUGCAGCGCGAACUGGCAGACUUGAGUGCGCACAACGUAGGCGGAAUUCAUGGUGUGGCGGGGAAAUGCUUAGAUAUCAUGACGAACUCCGAUUGCGAAGGCAGCUUACGGGAGCGCAACUGACGCUAAAGGUCGAAGGUGCGGGUAUCGAACAGG